GUCAGACGCGGCAAUGGACGUGAAAGCCUCAGGAGCUCCAGAGAGCCAGGCCGGUUUCAAAGCCUGAGGCUGCAGCCAGCCCGAGCACGGGGUCACUUCCGAGGUCACUGGCCGGACAAGCAGGUCAAUGUUAGCAGGAAACCUACAUGUCGUGGCUGGUAUUCAAUGGACUGUUACUCCGAAUGUAGCCAGACAAGCGCCAGGCACCCCCAAACAUCUGUAAACGCUGACACCGUGAACAGUCGUGAUU